GCACUUUGGAUAGUUGGAAACGUCAAGGAGGUUUCCAGGCUCAAAUUUUUGCAGCAGAGUAUCCACACUUGGGAUUUUGCUGACAAAACCAUGACAGCCAAAGGGCUGGGUGUUUUCCUAUCGAGUGACGUUGGCAGAACUGUGUAGCACAGAUUCAGUUUGAAAGGCUGAAAAACUAAAUUUGUUCUGCAGAAGGUGGUUUGAUAACUCCCAGCUGACCCCAGGAAUCCACAAGCGUGCACACUGCAAUGCCAAGGCAGGAGUCAGAACACGGCAGGACAGAGUUUUCAAAUGAAACAAAAAUUAGAAAAAAUGAAGUGCUUGAAGUGGGAGGCUUCCCCCCAUCACUGCCUUGGGACUGCAGCACAGAGAGCCAGUGUCCACUCACCACAGCCAUGGAAAAGAGAGAGAUGGAUUUUUUCAGGGAUACACCCAAAAUGCUAUAUCUGUUUU
rnacentral:lncRNA from 1 species